GGAAUUGUUCGCAAUGGGCGCAAGCCUGACGACGCAACGCCGCGUGGAGGAUGAAGAUUUUCGGAUCGUAAACUCCUGUCGAAUGGGACGAAAAGGUUGCGGGUGAACAGCCCGUGAUCCUGACGGUACCGUUAAAGGAAGCCCCGGCUAACUCCGUGCCAGCAGCCGCGGUAAUACGGGGGGGGCAAGCGUUGUUCGGAAUUACUGGGCGUAAAGGGCUCGUAGGCGGCCAACUAAGUCGGACGUGAAAUCCCUCAGCUUAACUGGGGAACUGCGUCCGAUACUGGAUGGCUUGGAUUUGGGAGAGGGAUGCGGAAUUCCAGGUGUAGCGGUGAAAUGCGUAGAUAUCUGGAGGAACACCGGUGGCGAAGGCGGCAUCCUGGACCAAUAUUGACGCUGAGGAGCGAAAGCCAGGGGAGCAAA
rnacentral:rRNA from 1 species